UUCCGGUUGAUCCUGCCGGACCUGACUGCUAUCGGAUUGAUACUAAGCCAUGCGAGUCAUUGUAGCAAUACAAGGCAUACGGCUCAGUAACGCGUAGUCAACCUAACCUAUGGACGGGAAUAACCUCGGGAAACUGAGAAUAAUGCCCGAUAGAACAUUAUGCCUGGAAUGGUUUAUGUUCCAAAUGAUUUAUCGCCGUAGGAUGGGACUGCGGCCUAUCAGUUUGUUGGUGAGGUAAUGGCCCACCAAGACUAUUACAGGUACGGGCUCUGAGAGGAGUAGCCCGGAGAUGGGUACUGAGACACGGACCCAGGCCCUAUGGGGCGCAGCAGGCGAGAAAACUUUGCAAUGUGCGAAAGCACGACAAGGUUAAUCCGAGUGGUUUCUGCUAAAGAAACCUUUUGUCAGUCCUAGAAACACUGAUGAAUAAGGGGUGGGCAAGUUCUGGUGUCAGCCGCCGCGGUAAAACCAGCACUUCAAGUGGUCAGGAUGAUUAUUGGGCCUAAAGCAUCCGUAGCCGGCUCUGUAAGUUUUCGGUUAAAUCUGUACGCUCAACGUACAGGCUGCCGGGAAUACUGCAGAGCUAGGGAGUGGGAGAGGUAGACGGUACUCGGUAGGAAGGGGUAAAAUCCUUUGAUCUAUUGAUGACCACCUGUGGCGAAGGCGGUCUACCAGAACACGUUCGACGGUGAGGGAUGAAAGCUGGGGGAGCAAACCGGAUUAGAUACCCGGGUAGUCCCAGCUGUAAACUAUGCAAACUCAGAUGAUGCAUUGGCUUGUGGCUAGUGCAGUGCUGCAGGGAAGCCGUUAAGUUUGCCGCCUGGGAAGUACGUACGCAAGUAUGAAACUUAAAGGAAUUGGCGGGGGAGCACACAAGGG
rnacentral:rRNA from 2 species